UCAUCAGAGAGGCCAACGGGUUUAUCCGAC
rnacentral:piRNA from 1 species